rnacentral:lncRNA from 1 species
CUAUAGAAAGUCGAGUGUAAAAUAUUGCUUCAUGCCUCCGGAUUUUCUCUGAACUUUUGACGCACUAAGCUGUGCCUGGGAGACUCUGGCCAAUCCUCAAGCAUCUCCCAAGGAACUUUUGGGAGCCUGGUACCCAGAGAGAACCAUCCAGAAUUUCAGCUGAAGACUCUCUUGGCUCCGUCUCUCCUCUUCUGCGCCACUCUGAACACUUGAUCUGGGACCUUCUUCAAGGGCAUGCUUCAGUAGCUGAAGAGCAACUGUGAAGCAUCAGUGGGGGCCUUGAAUCUGCACCCAGCAAGUCUAACAGCUUUUUCACUGCCAGAAAGGGAUGGAAAAUUCAACUAGUGGUUGUUUGCGCUGCUCCUUUGCCUACAGUUCGGUUUUCUUCUAAAAAAGACACCCAAUUUUAUAGCCUUCCUGUAUGCAGAGGAGUGGCACAUUCAGAUGAAAGGACCAUAACAACUGUUCAGUUCAUGCAAUGUUAUGACUGAAGUCCAGAGUAAUAAAAAUGUAUUUGAGUGUAUUACA